UUCGGACCAGCUGUAGAAAUACGGCCUUCCCGCAAGGGACCGGAGUAUAGGCGCUGCAUGGCUGUCGUCAGCUCGUGCCGUGAGGUGUUGGGUUAAGUCCCGCAACGAGCGCAACCCUUGCACACAGUUACUACUCGCAAGAGAGGACUCUGUGUGGACUGCUCCGGAUAACGGAGAGGAAGGUGGGGAUGACGUCAAGUCCGCAUGGCCUUUAUGUCCAGGGCUACACACGUGUUACAAUGCAGGGCACAAACCGUUGCCAACCCGUGAGGGGGAGCUAAUCGGAAAAAACUCUGCUCAGUUCGGAUUGCAGUCUGCAACUCGACUGCAUGAAGCCGGAAUCGCUAGUAAUGGCGUAUCAGAUCGACGCCGUGAAUACGUUCCCGGGCCUUGUACUCACCGCCCGUC
rnacentral:rRNA from 1 species